rnacentral:rRNA from 1 species
GACGAACGCUGGCGGCGUGCUUAACACAUGCAAGUCGAACGGAAAGGCCCUGCUUUUGUGGGGUGCUCGAGUGGCGAACGGGUGAGUAACACGUGAGUAACCUGCCCUUGACUUUGGGAUAACUUCAGGAAACUGGGGCUAAUACCGGAUAGGAGCUCCUGCUGCAUGGUGGGGGUUGGAAAGUUUCGGCGGUUGGGGAUGGACUCGCGGCUUAUCAGCUUGUUGGUGGGGUAGUGGCUUACCAAGGCUUUGACGGGUAGCCGGCCUGAGAGGGUGACCGGCCACAUUGGGACUGAGAUACGGCACAGACUACUACGGGAGGCAGCAGUGGGGAAUAGUGCACAAUGGGCGGAAGCCUGAUGCAGCAACGCCGCGUGCGGGAUGACGGCCUUCGGGUUGUAAACCGCUUUCGCCUGUGACGAAGCGUGAGUGACGGUAAUGGGUAAAGAAGCACCGGCUAACUACGUG